UGUGUGUGUGUGUGUGUGUGUGUGUGUGUGUGUGUGUGUGGUUUUCACACAUCACCUGAAUGUUUUGUUUAAUACAUUUUAUUCAGAUUUUUCACCACUUAAAAUCAACUGAUCCUUUAAUUUAAACAUUGAUACAGUUUAAACUAAACACAUUCACACAUUUGUUGUUUAACUGAUUAACUUGACUGUUUUAAUAUUUUAUUUUGACUUUAAUGUUUGAGAAGAAGAAGAAAAGAGAUCAGUAGCAGUGAGACUUCAGGCCAGCAGGUGGAGCCACAGAGCUGCAGCGUUUAAACCCACAAACCUCUGAAGAACAUCACGGACUCUCGGACGAGUUCCUGAUGAGGGAUGAAGUGUCUCUGUUGGUCAGACCCGCAGUUAGAGGGAGUAUUACAUGGAUUUUAAUAUGAGGAUGAGCCCUGAGUGACCCCGUCACCUCCAGCACCACCCGCAGGACUGAAGGAACACUGCAGCAGGUGGGAUACACCCCCCCCCCCCUCUGACUGACCCCAGGUGAGGUGACCUCCGUGCGGCUGAACCUGAUACAGGUCGACAUGUUUGGUUGAAGCUCCGCCCCCCGGCGCCGCAUCAAGGUCGUCCUGUCUGAACGGUGACGCUCCUCGGGCUGCGGUCUGACCGCUCUCAUUAAACUACACCUGGAUCACCUCCUGCUCCCAGCAUGCACUGCUGCUGCCGCCGCCAGCAACAACAACAACAACAACAGUAAAACACUGACCUGUUGUUCCGUCCGCUGCCGUCACCGUGACGCACACCUGGGUGGAGGCCGCGUGACAUCACUCCUCCUCCUCCUCCUCCGGGGCCGAAGGGCGUCGCCUUGACACGCUGCAACCACAACCUCCUCCGCCCCGUGUGUGUGUGUGUGUGUGUGUGUGUGUGUGUGUGUGUGUGUGUGUGUGUGUUCGUGUGUGUGUGUGUGUGUGUGUGUGUGUGUGUGUGUGUGACUCAUGUCUGACAGUGUAAUUCCUGCCUGAUGUCAUGAGAAAGUUUGUAAGAAAACAGGCAACACACACACACACACCUUAAAAUAUAUGUAACUUAAUUGUAAGUGACUGAUCGUGUGUGUGUGGCACCUUAAGCCUUGUUGCUAAUAAUAAUCUGAAAGUACAGACACUGUAACAAAUCAACAACAACAACACACACACGCACACACACACACACACUCGUGUGUCAGUCAUUUGUCGGCUUAAGUUCAGGAACAUUAAUCCGCUACGAGACAAACUGAACAAACUGUAAACAUCAGGGAGUAAAGGUGAUAAUCCUAAUCUGAGUCCAGACCAAUCAGAAGCCUUCCAUCCUCACAGAUCAAUUUUAUUUUUAUGUUUACAACUGAUCAUACAGAUUCCUGAAGGAAGUCGAGUACAAGUUUUUUUUCCGUUUCAUAUUGAUGGAAUAUGUCAAAAAAACAUUUGUCCAAAGACUUUUGAUCUUCACCGUGAUCAGUUUAUGAACUGUGGGUGUAAAUGUAAUCAGGUUAAAAUCACAUCUGGACAUUAAAAAGAGUCAGAUUUACUGAU